AUGAACGCUAGCGGCAGGCUUAACACAUGCAAGUCGAGGGGCAGCGCGGGAUAGCAAUAUCCUGGCGGCGACCGGCGGAAGGGUGCGUAACGCGUGAGCGACAUGCCCGUUGCCCGGGGACAACCGGUGGAAACGCCGACUAAUCCCCGAUGGGAUAUUGUGCCGCAUGGCACGAUAUUGAAAGUUACGGCGGCGACGGAUUGGCUCGCGUCCGAUUAGCUUGUUGGCGGGGUAACGGCCCACCAAGGCUACGAUCGGUAGGGGUUCUGAGAGGAAGGCCCCCCACAAUGGGACUGAGACACGGCCCAUACUCCUACGGGAGGCAGCAGUGAGGAAUAUUGGUCAAUGGGCGGAAGCCUGAACCAGCCAUGCCGCGUGCGGGAAGGAGGCCCUAUGGGCUGUGAACCGCUUUUGCCUGGGGGCAAUAAGGGCGUCGCGCACGUCCGAUGAGAGUACCAGGCGAAUAAGCAUCGGCUAACUCCGUGCCAGCAGCCGCGGUAAUACGGGGGAUGCGAGCGUUAUCCGGAUUCAUUGGGUUUAAAGGGUGCGUAGGCUGUGCGUCAAGUCGGGGGUGAAAUUCCGGUGCUCAACACCGGGGCUGCCCUUGAUACUGUCGCGCUGGAGUGCGGAUGCCGCCGGAGGAAUGAGUGGUGUAGCGGUGAAAUGCUUAGAUAUCACUCAGAACACCGAUUGCGAAGGCAUCUGGCGAAUCCGUAACUGACGCUGAGGCACGAAAGCGUGGGGAUAGAACAGGAUUAGAUACCCUGGUAUUCCACGCCGUAAACGAUGAUGGCUAACCGCCGGCGACACACUGUCGGUGGCCAAGCGAAAGCGAUAAGCCAUCCACCUGGGGAGUACGUCGGCAACGAUGAAACUCAAAGGAAUUGACGGGGGCCCGCACAAGCGGAGGAACAUGUGGUUUAAUUCGAUGAUACGCGAGGAACCUUACCCGGGCUCAAACGCAGGGGGAAUAUAUAUGAAAGUAUAUAGCUAGCAAUAGUCACCUGCGAGGUGCUGCAUGGUUGUCGUCAGCUCGUGCCGUGAGGUGUCGGCUCAAGUGCCAUAACGAGCGCAACCCUUGCCGCCAGUUGCCAUCAGGUCAAGCUGGGCACUCUGGCGGGACUGCCACCGCAAGGUGUGAGGAGGGGGGGGAUGACGUCAAAUCAGCACGGCCCUUACGUCCGGGGCGACACACGUGUUACAAUGGCGGCCACAGAGGGAUGCUACCCCGCGAGGGGAUGCGGAUCUCGAAAAGCCGUCCCAGUUCGGACUGGAGUCUGCAACCCGACUCCACGAAGUUGGAUUCGCUAGUAAUCGCGCAUCAGCCAUGGCGCGGUGAAUACGUUCCCGGGCCUUGUACACACCGCCCGUCAAGCCAUGGAAGCCGCGGGCGCCUGAAGUCCGUGACCGGAAGGAGCGGCCUAGGGCGAAAGUGGUAACUGGGGCU
rnacentral:rRNA from 1 species